UGCCAGCAGCCGCGGUAAUACGGAGGGGGCGAGCGUUAUUCGGAAUUACUGGGCGUAAAGGGUGCGUAGGCGGCCCAUCAAGUUAGACGUGAAAGCCCCGGGCUCAACCUGGGAAUUGCGUUUAAUACUGGUGAGCUAGAGUACGAGAGAGGAAAGUGGAAUUCCUAGUGUAGAGGUGAAAUUCGUAGAUAUUAGGAGGAACACCAGAGGCGAAGGCGACUAUCUGGACCAUUACUGACGCUAAGGCGCGAAAGCGUGGGGAGCGAACGGGAUUAGAUA
rnacentral:rRNA from 1 species